GACGAACGCUGGCGGCGUGCUUAACACAUGCAAGUCGAACGGAAAGGCCCUGCUUUUGUGGGGUGCUCGAGUGGCGAACGGGUGAGUAACACGCGAGUAACCUGCCCUUGACUUUGGGAUAACUUCAGGAAACUGGGGCUAAUACCGGAUAGGAGCUCCUGCGGCAUGGGGGGGGUUGGAAAGUUUCGGCGGUUGGGGAUGGACUCGCGGCUUAUCAGCUUGUUGGUGGGGUAGUGGCUUACCAAGGCUUUGACGGGUAGCCGGCCUGAGAGGGUGACCGGCCACAUUGGGACUGAGAUACGGCCCAGACUCCUACGGGAGGCAGCAGUGGGGAAUAUUGCACAAUGGGCGGAAGCCUGAUGCAGCAACGCCGCGUGCGGGAUGACGGCCUUCGGGUUGUAAACCGCUUUCGCCUGUGACGAAGCGUGAGUGACGGUAAUGGGUAAAGAAGCACCGGCUAACUACGUG
rnacentral:rRNA from 1 species